ACUCUUCGUUGCACGUCAAAUUGAAAUGAUACACCCCAGUUUAAAAGUGAUUUCGUGGCAGUUAAAAUUGAGUGGACUGGUAAGAUAAAGGAGGGUUAAACUUUGAAGAGCGAUCUGAAAUCUAUUUGUAUUUUGAUACGAUAUUCUAAUAAGCAUCUCUUGUACACGGCGGCUGGAACAUGUGCUAAUGUAACAAAGGGCUUCAGUUCCAUCGGGGUUAAUACGUCAGAACAAGGAAAAUGAAAGGACUCCCGAAACUGAUCUGCUGUCGACUUCGUGCAAGGCAGUGUUGGUCUUCCAGAUGUUGAGUUAACGGGCAAUCCAGUGAAGGUGUCAAGAAACGCACUCAAGGAAAAAUCCACUAACACUACUUCUACAUUCACUAAUCCAAAUGGAUUCGAGGGACAAGUGAACCAGUGUUACUUUCUUCUCCCAAGCCAACAUCCCAAGCAUUGAAGCCAAAGUUCACUUACAGUCAACUAUGUUGGGCAGUUCACAUCACCUAGCACCAAUCUUGUGAAACAGACCCUUCUACUUGUGUCCUGUCACGGGAAAGUAGAAAAUGUACAGACUCAGAUCUACUUAAAAAAUGCAGCAUCCCCAAUGACUCCUUGCAUUCUCUGGCUCAUAACCAUCAAAGCAGACAAGAAGCAUUGGGAAUGGUAUUGAGGACCACAAGGCAAAGUCCUGGGAGCCCACAGUGUUGCUUAUUUCAUAAGCAAUAAAAUUAGCAAACCUCCUUACAAACUACAAUGGAGAAGUUCUGUAGAAGAGUCCAUAACACAAAACAUGAAAUGAUUUCUCUUUCCACAGAUGGUUCUUAUCUGCCUGCAUCAUUCCAGCUUUUGUUUCAAGUUCUAACAUCUGCAGUUUAAUUUGUUUCUUGGAAAAAUGGAACAUUUGAUGCUGCCUGACCUGCUGAUUCCCUCCAGGAUUUUGUGUGUGUUGCAAAGGAAAGUCUGAUCAGUCUCAUUAGAGAACUGAUUUUGACAAUUGCCAUCUAUAGGUGAUCUCUGGCAUCCUGGAAACUGGAAUCACCGAGCAGGCUAAUAAAGCCUAUCAUAAAGAGGUAUCCAUGAAGCAAAUCUGAAGUAAAAAUAAAAACAGACUAUAAUUAAUUUUACACUAAUUUUCAUUAACUUUAGAAAGCAUGAAAUAAAGAUACUUGUUGUAUUCAAGGAGAAAUUUAAAUAUCAUAAGCAAACUUACAAAUAAACUAGUGUUCAUUAUUUUAAAUAUUUUUUCUGUAUAACAAAAUUAUUAUAUUUCAAUAUUAUGAUUUAAUUUUCAUGAAUACAGGGUUUUGUGAUUGUAACUGUAUUUUUAAUACAAUGUAUUUGGUACUAUUUUAUGUUUUUUCUUUUGAGUUAUAUAUCUCGUGCUCUGUAUUUCUUUAUGCAGAAACUAAUAAAAAUAUUGAAAGAGAAAUAUUUAUGGGAAGUUUUAAUAUAAAAUGGAGCAGGUGACAACUAUAGUCAUUAAAUGAGUUACUCCAGACACAUUCAAUAACACUGAAUUUGUUCAAUAGCUCUUACAGUGAGAAUGCAUUGAGGUCCAUGUCAAAUCAUUGAUUUGGCAUUGAUUGUCAGAGAAGACUGCAACAGGCACUCCGACGUGGAGCAAAGUUUAAGUGACCGAGAUCGUCUGAAGUCCCAAAUUUAAAUGAACAAGUGCAGGUGCUACAUGUUACUGUCAGUUUUACAGAAUGGC